rnacentral:other from 1 species
GUCCUCCUGCGGUGUUCGCCAUUGCCAUAUAUUCCUUGAACCUUUAAUGUGCAUAGGCUGUGGAAUAAGGUUGACGGGCGUGAUCGUCGCUCGUCCGACGAACCCGAUGUUGACCUGACUGUGGCCACCUUGAACCGUAAGGUUCAGGAUGCCGGCAAAGCGACACUCGCGGGACUUUU